GGAGGAGUGGCCGAGUGGUCGAAGGCGCUCGCCUGCUAAGCGAGUGCACGGGCUAAAACCCGUGCCGCGGGUUCGAAUCCCGCCUCCUCCG
rnacentral:tRNA from 1 species